rnacentral:tRNA from 1 species
GCCGCCGUAUGCAUUAACUUGGUAUAUGCGCCAGAUUGAUACUCUGGUGACCCUACCCGGUCGUGUGGGUUCGAAUCCCACCGGCGGCG